rnacentral:rRNA from 1 species
AUUGAACGCUGGCGGCAUGCCUUACACAUGCAAGUCGAACGGCAGCACGGGGGCAACCCUGGUGGCGAGUGGCGAACGGGUGAGUAACAUAUCGGAACAUACCCUAGAGUGGGGGAUAACGUAGCGAAAGUUACGCUAAUACCGCAUACGCACUAAGGUGGAAAGUGGGGGAUCUUCGGACCUCAUGCUCAUGGAGUGGCCGAUAUCUGAUUAGCUAGUUGGUGAGGUAAAGGCUCACCAAGGCGACGAUCAGUAGCUGGUUUGAGAGAACGACCAGCCACACUGGAACUGAGACACGGUCCAGACUCCUACGGGAGGCAGCAGUGGGGAAUUUUGGACAAUAGGGGGCAACCCUGAUCACGCAAUGCCGCGUGAGUGAAGAAGG